AUGUCCGUGAAGGUAAAUUAUACAGUAUUAUCGCCCAUAAGGUCCGAGGGCAUGGUUCAAAUAAAUGCACCCGGAAAAGAAAUAGGAAGGACUUGUAAUACUCAAAAUCAAGAAUCACAAUUAGCACGGCAUCUAUCCUCUACAUUUUCAGCACCGCAUCAUGAUCAGAUUGACGGAAAUUUCCAGAAAAUGAAAGCAAGCGGGAGCUGCAAGUUUCAGAUAACUGACGGGAAACUGAACUGGGGACAUAGUCGGAUUCAGAAAAAAGGAAAUCUUACGCGUCCUCCAUCGCGUAGUGCAGCGGCUUUAAAUAUCAGCAAAGACCACCUGCGCGUACCACAACACCUUCCCGAUCCCGCAGACAAACCUCUCCCAAAUCCCAGUCGCGCGCCCUCGAUCGACAUCACCCUUUCCUAG
rnacentral:rRNA from 1 species